rnacentral:rRNA from 1 species
GAUAAACGCUGGCGGCGUGCCUAAUGCAUGCAAGUCGCACGGAGCGCUCUUUCGGGGGUGCUGAGUGGCGAACGGGUGAGGAACGCGUGGACAACCUACCCCGGCGUGGGGGAGUACCCGCCAGAAAUGGCGGCUAAUACCGCGUACGGUUCUCUGGCGAGGGGCUGGGGAAAGAAAGCCGUGAGGCGCGCUGGGAGGGGUCUGCGGCCGAUUAGCUGGUUGGCGGGGUAAUGGCUCACCAAGGCGAUGAUCGGUAGCUGGUCUGAGAGGAUGAUCAGCCACAC